rnacentral:rRNA from 1 species
CCCUUAGAUGUUCUGGGCCGCACGCGUGCUACACUGAGUGGAUCAGCGGGUCAGGUUACGCGAGAGCGUUUCCUAAUCUUCAAAUCCGCUCGUGAUGGGGAUUGACGGUUGCAAUUUUCCGUCAUGAACGAGGAAUACCUUGUAAGCGCGGGUCAUCAUCCCGCGCUGAAUACGUCCCUGCCCUUUGUACACACCGCCCGUCGCUCCUACCGAUUGGGUGGUCCGGUGAGGCUUUGGGAUCUAAGCGAAAAGAGCGUUUCGCUCCUUUUGCUGGGAGAACUCAGUCGAACCUUAUCAUUUAGAGGAAGGAGAAGUCGUAACA